CGUCGACCAACCGACGACGACUCGACGUCGAGACGAGCGUGCCGCCGGAACAUACCAGAUUACCAGCUCGACUCGCGACCACUACUACCACUACCACUGUCAGCUCCCGCCGCCACGCCAUGUGCUAACGCAGUAACACCACGGUUUGUCGUCGUAAUCGUCGACCGUCGUCACUCGUCGUCGCAACAGCAGUGCAACGUUAUUACUCACCCUGGGCAACAGAAGCAGUGAGCUGCAGAUACCGCAAAGCUGACGAGAAUCGAUCGUGCGCACACCCGGACGACGGCAACCACUACAGCGAAGAACCGUUCGCGCGUACGAGCAGACAUCACUGGACAAAAAAUAUUUUGUUUACAACCACCUACUUUCAACCUGCUUUUGUCACAUCCUAUUGAUAUUUCAAGCAGAAAUUUAUAUCAAGUCAUCAACUUAGUUUAAUGUACUAGGUUAUACCUACCCUUUUUCAAGACUUAAUUUUAACGCACACUAAACACAACAUCAAAUAUGUCUUCUUGGCAAGAUUAUGUCGACAAACACCUUAUAGCUUCUAGAUGUGUUACCAAAGCUGCUAUCUCAGGUCAUGAUGGUACCGUUUGGGCAAAUUCCGAUGGAUUUAAUGUUACCAAGGAAGAACUUAGCAGACUAAUUGCUGGUUUUGAAAACCAAAAUGUUCUGGCUGCUUCAGGUGUAACGUUAGCUGGCAGUAGGUUUAUUUAUUUGUCUGGUACUGAUAAAGUCAUUAGAGCAAAGCUGGGUAAAGUAGGUGCACACUGUGUGAAGACCCAACAGGCUGUAGUUGUUUCAUUAUAUGAAGACCCCAUUCAACCACAACAAGCUGCUUCUGUUGUUGAAAAGCUUGGUGAUCAUUUGGUUGCCCAUGGAUACUGAACGUGAAUUGCAAAAAAAAUAUAAUUAAUGUGGCUUCAAAAAUGGAAGAAAAAAAAUUCAAAAUUCAGAAUAUCAAGAACAACUAAAAACUAUGUGUUAUGGCAUUUAAUAUAUUACAUUAAAAUAACCUAAUCUCAAUUACACCCAAUAAAAUAAAUGUUUAUAAUUUUGGGAGAAAUAUAUUAGGUAUAUAUAUAUUAUUUUA